rnacentral:rRNA from 1 species
GACGAACGUUGGCGGCGUGCUUAAUACAUGCAAGUCGACUGAAGCAGUGGUAGCAAUCUCGCUGUGGAGGUGGCGCACGGGGGAGUAACACGUAGGUAAUCUGCCUUCAGGUCUGGCAUAACUCCGGGAAACCGGGGCUAAUAGCAGAGGAUGCAUCGGCCCGACAUGGAGACAGUUGUUAAAGCUAUGUCGCCUGAAGAUGAGCCUGCGUCUGAUUAGCUAGUUGGCGGGGUAACGGCCCACCAAGGAAACGAUCAGGAGCUGGUAUGUGGGGAGGAUCAGCCACACUGCAACUGAGACACGGUCCAGACUCCGACGGGAGGCAGCAGUAAGGAAUAUGGCUCAAUGGGUGAACUCCUGAAGCAGCACCGCCGUGUGAGGGCCGAGGGGCUUUUGCUUGUAAACCUGUGUAGUGAGGGAAACAACUCCCGAUCUUUGGGACAUGACGGUAUCUCAAGAGUAAGCCCCGGCUAACUACGUG